AUGUUACAAGUCACAGGAUGCUUAGGUGUUAUGAACUGAAAGUGCGAAAAAAACACCUAAGUUUUUUAAAUAAAUAUUAAAACAACACUGACAAUAAUUAGCCAAACACGACUGGAUAAUCUGAACAACGAAAACUUGCAGCAAUAUGUACCAGAGGAAUCAAAAACCUAACUUUUACUUUCAACACAAAUCUUUUCCACGGUAUUUCACCGCAGCAGACCCCCAUAUAUCACAUAGUUAGGUCCUUGAUAAUGAAUUUCACAGGCAUUGCAGUCAACUCAAAUUGCUAGAAAACCCAUCAAGCUGGAAAAAUGCAGGAACAUAUAUAUGGACGAUCUACAGUGUCAUGUGUCAAACGAGUCCCCUAGCUAAGUCUAAAGGUCUUCGUAUUUCCAUAGUUCUAGUACCACUUACAAUCGAAUUAUCAUUAAUAUAUUUUUUUGAUUGACGUAAAUUGAUUUCUGUUUUAUCUUUGUAUUAAUUUACACUCAAAUAUUCAAGAUUAUUGAAUUACAUUUGACGCACACAAGUCUAAGAGGUCAAUUUCUCCUAUCAAAUUUUAUCUUUGCACUCGGUAACCCAAUUCCCCUCUGAGCUAAUGUUGAUGCUAAAAAUUGUAAACCCAAUAUAAUCUCAUUGUUUCUUCCCCAACUCACAGAACAAUAACCAUCAAACCAUAAACUAUGCUAAGAUAUAAAUAUAGAAACAAACUGAGGCAAGUUAGUCUGAACAACAGCAAAAUUUGCAAACUAAUUAGCAGCGAACGAGCCACCAUCUUAUCAUAAUACUCAAACAACCCCUAUAAUGUCAUUCGAUUUUCAAUGUCUGUUAUCGUUAAUUCCGGUAUAAUGAAGGCUACAACAAUAUAUAAUAUUACAAUGACUUAUUCUUUUAACUGGACAGCGGGAGGGUGAUGAAUCCCUAGCAAAGAUAUCUGAACACCAACGGGAACAUACCGGCACUGCAGGCACAAUAUCAUUCGAUGGAGAGAACAAUUCAUCCACCUCGAGUUUUUUCAGAUAACUCCCAUUUCCAUUGGUAUAUUUUUAGACGACAUUAUUUCGCUCAUUGGCUGAUAGAUCAAACUAUGCCCAUUCACAGUCGAUUCCGAUCAAUCUUCUGUUUCCUAAACGCAAUAUUAACUAUCGUUUAUGGCUCUACUGGCCCAACCGGCAAUAAUAGGGAACAAUCCAGCUUUGAGCCUUUGACCAAUUUAUCAACCGGCUACAACUGGUACACCAGGUCAACUUGAAACACGUGUCCUCUACACGUGUCAAUAUCUCGUCAACCUACUUGUCCAAUCUUUGAUGUUUGUUACAUUUUUUUGUAGGAGCCGGCUAAGUUACGUUAAACAUAACUUACGCCAGCCACAACAACAGUAGCGGGUCCUAUCACUGUGCAUUGUUGCUGUAUCUUGGGUAAGUUACGUUUAACGUAACUUAGCCAAAGCCUUUUUUGUAAGGUAACACUUGGCCAGAUCAAAUUCUCUAGAGUUAAUCCACAAAAAUCUCCUUUAUCAGAACUGGCAAAGAUAAAUAUCAAUCAUAUCAGAUGAUGUUUCCUGAAAGGCUCCAGUUAGAACAGAGAACAUGGAAGCUGGCUUUUUCAACCGACAAUUCUAUUUGUUAUACGGAUGGAGGAGCCAGAAAUCUACUCCACUAGUGCAACUUUAAAUAAUUAAUAAAUAUAGAAGUUAUACUUUUUUCAUUUUUUCAUCCAUAAUAUACAGUCAAGACAAUUAUAUUGCUGACUUGGGCUUUUUAAUUUUAAGGGGCUAAAGGACAGAUCACUUAAGUCAAGGAGGUGGAUCUCGAAGAGUUAUAGGGUCAAUACUUGAAGCAUAAAAUAAAAUAUGACCCUUUGUUUUUUUAUUAAUGCCAAAUUAAGUGGGAGCAGCUUGUCAAUUGCAAUAUACUAAUAUUGUUCAGAAUUUAAUCCAAUCUGUUCAAUUCGUACGAUUCACAAAUAUUCGAUUUGUAAAAAUUCAAUCGACACAUUAUUGGAUUUAAUUGAAUUGAAAAUUGUAAAUCCACAAUAGUGGAUUAGAAUGAAUUUAUAAAAGUAAAUCCAUAAAAAUUCGAAAAUACGCAAAGACAAAUAUUUAAUUAAUUUUAAAAAAUUAGAACUUGUAAAUUUGGUAUUAUUAAUAAAUAAAUAUGUUAAAAUUUAGUUACACUAACACCACAUUAUAUCUUAUCUAUUGAUAAUGAAAAAAUAAAAAAUAAUUAAAUAAACUAUUAUAGUUGCCUAAACUGUAUUAUUCGAAUAAAUUUUUUUAUGUUAUUUAAUCAAUUAUGUCUAUCUUUUUUCAAGUUUUUUUUAAUAAAAAAAUUGGACAUGGAAACUUUUAUAGAUUAUCCAAACUUUUAAGUUUCAACUUUUCUAUUGAUUUUAUUCCAUGAUUUUAAUUAAUUGUAUAUAUUGAUAUAAACAAAUCAGAUUUUUUUCUUUUUGGUGUGUCAGAAUUUAAAACUUUGAAUGUAUUAUUUUAGUACUAUUUAAAAUAUUAAUUUAUUUAGAUCUUAUUUAAUUUUAAAUUUAAUUAGUAGUCAAAUUAAUUUUAUAUUAUUUUUAUUUAAUUAUUUAGUGGAUUGGAUAUAAUGAAAAUAAUCCAAAAUGAAUCUACAAAAUAGUAGAUUGGAUAUAAAUUGCAUCAAAUCUGCAUUCAAUCCAUGAACAUAUUCGAUUGGAUGUGGAUUGAAUUUCAUAGAUAUAUAGAUUGAAUGGAAUUAAAUAUUUGUAACCCAAAAAAUCUUAGAUUGGAUAUGAAUUGGUGUCUAAUUUGCAAACACCCUUACUCUAUAUGGACUUUGGUCCCUAAUUUGUUAUGACUUUUUUCUAAUAUUAUUGUUGGACCUUAAUUACUUUUCAGGUUAAGCUUUUAGAAUUUUUUUUGCUAGCAAAAGAAGAUAUAACCUCGAUAUUAUUAUUGAUGGUGUGAUGUUGAUUAACCUUUCUCAUGUUGAACGAUAUAAUUUGUAUAAAGUAAUGCUCGAUAAAUUGCUAAUUUUAAUUAAAUAAUAAUUUUUUACUGUUUGAACUUGGGACCAACAUACUAAAUUAAUAAUUUAUAAGAUAUUAAAUUAUAAAAAUUAAAAAAAUUGAUAGGACCCACUAACUAUAUAAAUUAAUAUUUAGCUAAUCCCAAAUUUAAUCCGGAGCCGGCUACUCUGCAUCAGUGAUUCCAAAUCCCCCAAUUUUGUCUUUACCAAACUGACCGUUUGAUAUUAUCUAAUGGAUGGUGAUUGAACACAUAGAUAAGUAAGAGUAACCUAAUAAACAAGUUCAGAGCCGGUCACCAAAAAUUCUACAAUUGUAUGGUACACAAUUACAAGUAACUGGUUGAAAACAAUUAAUACAUUCUUAAAUGCAAGAUCUCGUUAGAUGCAUGACAACGUUACAUGCCAAUUUCCGUUGGAAUAAAAUUCACAUAUAAUGCGAUAAAGAUAAAAUAAGUUCAUGAAUAAAAUAGCCAGUUCCUUAACCAUUUACGUUCAGAGUUGAAAAGAACUCCAUUUUUUGGAGAAAAAAUAGAAAUUGGGGAAAGCAUAUGCAAUAGGGUUAAUAUCAUCAGCAUUGGAAGCAGCCUCUGCUUGUGCUUGUUCCCACUCCCGUCGGUGGCAGCAGCCUCUGCUUCUGAUUGUUCCCACUCCUGUCGGCUGUUUUGCUGAUAGCCCUACGAACUUCUCCCCUUUCUAUUUUGGUACUUCUUCUCAAUAUGGGCAAUCUCAACCGUCCUAUUUGCCUUAAUGAUCUGCCGGCGGUUGGCGAUAAGUCUGAUUUUGCUCCUGCCCCUACCAAGGACUAGGAUUGACCAUACCAGAACGACCUUUGUCGGCUUCCACCUAGAACCCUUUGACCAAGUUGCCAAGAUUUUAAGGGAGAGCAGCGCAUCUCGUAAUGCCUAAAAGGUUUCCACUUUGAGUUUUUAUUUUUUCGAAUUAGAAAUCCUUGCACAUGGGGUUUUGCUCUAUUUUGGUGAUUCACACACACAUAAAUAUUCUUGUGGGCUUUUCAAUUUAUGAAGAAGCAAGAAGAGACAAAACAAGCACAACUAGCUGUAAAUGCUGCUGAAUAUAAAGCCAUGCAGGCCGAAGCCGAAAAUGUAAGAUGCUACCUUCUUAGCUGCAUUCCUUAUUCGUGUUUGAGGUUUUUAAAGAAUAUUCCUUGUUGCUGUGGCCUUAGAGGAAUAUAAUCUUUUAGUUGCAUGAACUUAUUUGGUCGUUUAUUAAAACUGACGGUAAUCUUUCAUUUUAACUGGAUGUUAAUAUUUCAGUUUGGAGAAAGAAGUAAUUUGCAAAGUUUUCAUUUUUGUUUUUGGGUUGGCUUAAUAAUUUUUGUUACAGACAUGUUUAUGAAUAUGACUAGCACUUGUUACAGCCUAAAAAUGAAUAUCACAAAGCGAGAAACCAAGAGGUCGAAAAAUGCAAGAAGAGUUAUCAGAAGGCAAGAGCAAGCUCGAUGAGUUACAGUUACCAAAGACAGAUUAAAGCACAAAAGCGAAUAUAGAGGGGAAAGGCUCAGAUAUUGUCGGCACCGUUAUGUUGACUUUCUUAGUUCUUUUUUGUCUUUUUUUUUUAAUUACAUCGUCAUAUUCUCAUUUUCUUUACGGGAUUUUAUUUGCUUUGUUACUCAAUCCUGAUAAUUGUUGUCAAGUAAUUUCUGGCAUAAUAAUAAAUUUUCAGUUCGCUAUUGUUAGUCUGCUCUCUUUCUUGAUCCUUUUUACUCUUUUACAUUUUUUUAUCUCAUUUCUUUCUCUAAACUUAUAGUAUAAUGAAGAACCAUCUAUAAACAAUGAAAAAGCCUCUUGUGAAUGACCACUCGAAUAUUGGAGAUAAUGGUGUAGUGUUGCAAAUGAUUAUCCAAAUAUUAGAGGAAACACUCUCUAAAAUAACCCGCUUUGAGGUCACUGCAGCAGCAUAUAGGGCAAAAGAAAUUUGAUCAUUCAAGUACAUUUACAAGAAUAAUUACAUCAAUAGUAAUUUAGCGCAUCAAAUCCUUAUUUUUUCCAUAUAGUAAAGAUAGAUAUAAUCAAAGUGCGCACAUCAUUCAUAACCUGAAAGCAGAAGAUAGCUCAAUAAUAUCACAACCUAGCAAAGAAACAAUCAUAAAUAAUGUUAUAGCGCAGCAAUAUCACAACCUAGCAACUGUCCAAAAGAUAUGAUUAGUUUAUUCGCCCAAGCACCAUCGUGAUUCAUGAGCGAUGUAGGAUAAGAACAAGUUUAACAUGGACUAAUGACUAGUUUGCUAUAAGCACCAAACCCAUGCACAACAUUCGUGGCAAUACAGAAACUGUUAUUAUGAUAUCAAAACAUACAAAAUAAGAUUUAGCUUAAUGAGAUUGUCCAGUCCCAUUUCACAAACUACUUCCCUUUACUCAUUUGUCAGUUGUCCCACAGUGGCUGCAAACCUAUAGUGUCCACACCGGAUUAGAAAUUUGGCCUCCUCAUCAGCAACUUUCUCAACUCUGUGUGACUGACUUAUAUUUUUUCUUUUUUCACCUGGAGGUAAGUUCUUAAAUUCCAAUCCUAGUUCUUUUUCGAACCUACAGGAAUUCAACAGAUAUUAAUACCUAUCAUUCCUAACAUAUAGUAUUUCAACUAAAUCAAUUAAAACAUCACUUCCAGCUUACUAACAUCUCUUGUACCGCAUGCCCUUUCAUCCUUUGCCUUUAUCCAAUGUAUCCAACGAACAACUUCCUCACUGAGCAUUCAAAGAUUUCAACAAAAACCUCUCAUUUAGCAAAAAAUAGGUUCAAUCUUGUAUGUGCAAAAAAAUAAUUGAUCGAUGACGUUUUUUCGAGUUAUUUCACAAACUUACAAGAAGCUGACAAAUCCAUAGUUAUUUUGCAUGGCUCUAUUUCCUUCACCAUUGACAGCAAUCAUUGUUUCAGUACAGCUAUCAGAAUUGAAUGCCUUCUGCUUACGAACUGUCCCCAAUUUCAUUCCUGCAUUACAAUGCUCUAAAAUGAAUUAUAAAUACCACUUAAACUGCUAGUUGUAGUCAAGUUUGUAAUCAUAUUAUCACAUAAGAAGGUUAUGACAACUUUUAUUAUGACUUCAAAACAUACACAAGAUUACAUACCAUAUUAAUUUCCCUGAAAUGACAAAAGGGAAAAACAGCCCACACAACAACAAUUGCCAUUAUUUAACCACAAAAAUACACCGAAUUUUGUUUGACAGUGUCGAACCUCUAAGAAAUCGAUCACAACUCGGUUUGAAGCCUAUGGAGUUAUUGCAGGAAGACAAAACAGUAUCAGUGACACGUACAAUCGAGAUAAAACUAGUCAUAUACGAAGAUACUUAUUUAAUGGUUAAGCUUUUGGGAUCUUGUGAAAUCAAUUUUGAAAGCCUCUAUAGAGAAAUAAUCAAAGUGAAUAAAUUUAAAUUUAUAAUACGCUGACUACAAAAAGAAACCCGACUUACAUCUACAUUAGACAAGCAAAUACCCCUAUACUGUGUGUAUCCUGUUCUAUAAUUUCAUCCCAUUGUAACAUUUCAGAGCCCCAAUAUACCCCCUAUAAAAUUACACAAAUUAAUUACUCACAAGCACGCUAACUAACACUCUCAAGUUUGCAAUUCUUAUGAAAAACAUACCUCAAUCUUCACUUACGCAUUCAAUGACCAUCAUUUGAAUCUCCACCGACGAUUUGAUCUUUAUCAAAUCCCCUUCAAUAUAGCCCGUGUACGAGUUCUCUUCUCAGUUCAUUGAUGGACGACAAGAUUUCCAACUUCUCCUCUAUUACCCCAGCGUCUGGAUUUAAAACGCCUAGUUAACGACUUACCACUAGAAACCCCUUAAUGACACCGACGAUUUUUCUAACUGCUUAACCCUAGUUAUUUUAUUUUGAAAACGCUGGUAAUGCCGAUAACCAGUUAACAUCUUUAUUACCAUACGUUAGUUCAGAGCCGUUGGAUUUUUCUCUUUGCAAUCUAACGGCCAUUUAAGUAAAAGACAAAAAACGGUGAUUCCAAAUCACGUAUGCACUGUAGCUGGACCCAUUUAAUCCACACGAUAUCUCUAUGUGGCUUCUUAAAAAAUGUUCCUAGUAUUUUUUACUUCACCUUGAAAUUGAUUUCAACUUCAAUCUCAUCUCUAAUUUUUUGUAAUGUGAAAAGAAAUUUUGGUUGACAUUAUCUUUUGGAAUAAAAAAAUUAUUUGAUGUCAUUAUCACUUUGGGUGCUUCUUUUUGCGAGAUACAUUUCGUGGUAGAACCAUCAUUUUUAACUUAAAAAACUAAAAUUUCUAUGAAGAUGUUACUACUUAUUAUGAAUUAUUGUUGAUUCCAACAAGUAAAUGGAUUCACCAUUUUGAAAGUGGAUUCACUAUUUUGAGUUUUAUAGACAUAUUAUCACCCACUCCACUCAGGUGUCAACUAUAUAUAUAGAUGUAGUUUUUUAAACAAAAUGUAGAACUUGAAAAUGAGCUUACCUUCCUUUGUCUAUUGAUCUUCUUUGAAAAACUCUACAAUAUUGUAAUAUUAUAAAUAAAGCUUUGUUACAAAUUUUCUUAUCCAAUUCUAAAGGAUUUGCUUCCAAAUUUACAACAUACUACUCUUUUAAAUUUAUAACACUACUAUAUAUUUUAGGCAGUCAUCAAGGAGUUUUAUUUGACUAGCUAUUCAAUUUGAAUCUUGAGACGAAUUUAGGGUUUGCACCUCGUACUAGGGCAACUUUUAAGUAUAGGCGAAUAAAAUAGGCACCUAGGGCCCCAUAUUUAGGGAAGACCCGUUUUUUAAGUAUGUCCCUAAUAAUGUUCUAAUUAAUAAAUAAUUUUUUGGGUAUUGUCGGAAAGCCUAUUUUAGACGUCUGUCUAACUAAUAAUUAUCUUCAAUUAAGUUUUUUUGAUAGAAAAUCAUAUAUAACUAAUAAUAUUGUCUAACCAUUAAUUCAUUCAUAAUCAGUCUUUCUAAAAAGAUUAAAUUCCUAAAAAAACCUAUUUAUUUAAGUUAGAAUUAAUCUUUGACUUUUAGUUUUUCUUUUAAUUUCUAGGGAAAAGAACAAACACCCCCCCAAUGUUUAGGCAAAAGGAAAAAAACCCCCCUAAUAUUUUAAAAAAGACAUUUACACCCUAAUUUAUUAUAAUUUUACCAUUAUACCCUUCUAGCAUAUAAAAAAAUAUUAAAUUAUCCAAUUUGUCUAUCUAUUGUUAAUAAAAUUAUAAAUAGACAAAUUGGAUAUUAUAAAGAAAAUUAUAAAUAUACCCUCGUUACCCAAUUCCUCUAUUUAAAUUUUUAUCAAUAACCAAUGUUAAAAAAAGACAUCUAUACACCUAAACAAAUUGUAAAUAAAUUAUAAUUUUAAAAAUAAAAUUAGUUAUUAAUAACCAAUUUUAUUUAAACUUUAAACUUGUAUAUUUAAUAAUUCUCCACAUGUCAAUCAUCUAAACUUGUACAUUUAUAACCAAUUUUCUAUGUUAUUUAUUAUGGUAUUAAUAACCAAUUUUAUUUUUAAAAUUAUAAUUUAUUUACAAUUUUUUUUAAGUGUUUAGAUGUCUUCUUUGAAAAUUGGUUAUUAAUAAAAAUUUAAAUAGAGGAAUGAGGCAAUGAGGGUAUAUUUAUAAUUUCAUUAACAAUAUAUAGACAAAUUGGAUAAUCUAAUAAUUUUUUUUUAUAUGCUAGAAGGGUAUAAUGGUAAAAUUAUAAUAAAUUAGGGUGUAAAUGUCUUUUUUAAAAUAUAGUAUAAAUAUUUUUUUUGAAACAUUAAGGGGGUUUUUGUCUCUUUGCCUAAACGUUGGGGGUGUGUUUGUCCUUUUCCCUAAUUUCUAUUAAAAUCUUAUAAUCUCAAAAUUCAAUAAACAAAAAAUUUUCUUACCCUAUUCACUACAAAGAAAAUUAUUAUAUUCAUUAGCUCCCUUGAAAAACAAAAAGUAAAUUUUUAAAAAUACGAAGUCUAUAGCCAUUAUCCAAUCAUCUAUUCAUCAUCUCAACUUUUAAAGUGAUACCAUUGUAAAUAAUAUGCUUGAAACUUGUAUUAUUUUUAUUUAUUUAUUUUUAUAAUGCUCAUUCACUUUGAGCUAUUUUAUGUAUUUUUGACUAAUAUUAAAAUUGCUGAAUGAAUUUAGGCGCCAUAAUAAAAAUUCACCAGGGAUCCAAAUGUUCUAAAUUCACCAUAAUAAAAAUUGCUGAAUGAAUUUCGGCACCAUAAUAAAAAUUCAGCAAGUAUCCAAAUGUUCUACAGUAAACUUUGUGUCUGUGUGUUUGUGUAUAUAGUUAUUGUCUAAUGCGAAUAAUUUUUUUUCGCUAAUCACUAUUAUUCUAGAUACGCCGUGGUACGAGAUCAUUUGGACUACAUGAGCCAACCAAAUUCUAGUGAAGUAUAAAAAAAUAAAGAUUGCAAUACAAAGUGAGGAUAUUUUCACUAGAAAAUAUACAUAUACAUACAUUCAUGCUUCAAAGAGUACAAGCAGAGAUGUAACUGGCUCGUGCACAUCCACCAAUGAAUGAACAAUAUGAAGUCAUCAGGAAUCUGUACGUGUGUAGGACUUUCUUGGUCAUCUCAAUUGUAUUCGAAAGUCUUGUUUUCUUGUGCCUUUUUUUAAAAUUGAAAAAAGAGCAAACCAUCCAAUACGAGCAAACUACUUCUUCGAAGAGGGGGACCUGUUGAUUAUUUUGCAGAGCACCUUUUUUUUUAUAAAAAAAAAAACCAUCCAAUCCGAGCAGACUUCUUCUUGGAGGAGGGGCACAUGAUUAUUUUGCAGAGUAAUAUUUUGCAUUUCAAAUAUGCUGUUGAAAAUCUUCUAUAAAUUGGGAAGACAUAAAACCAAAGAAGCUGAAGAUUCAAGAUUUCUGUAGCAGGAUUGCGAGGGAGAAGGAUGGUGAGUGGGUGACCCACAAGGGUAAAACGCUACAAGCAGAGAAGGAAUCAUAAAGGAAAGUGGCCGGCCAGGCGGUGUCUUAAACUUUCUUUGGUAACAGGUAACACAUCCGACCCCUUACUUUUGUGUUAGAAGUUAGGAAAGGGCAAGAAAAAUACGCAUGUUAAGGAUGAUGAAACAAGUUGUUUUGAAACAAGUUGAUUAAUUUUUUGUUUUGAAACAAGUUGAUUAAUUUGUUUUGAAACAAGUUGAUCAAUUUUUUUUGUUAAAAGGUUUAGCCCAUUUGAUUUGGUGCUUUAUAAUAUUUUUUAUUGAUAAAAGUUGGUCAAUUUUUAGUUGUUAUGAUGGUGUCAAGCUCAAUCAAAUUAACAUGAAUAUAAUAAUAAUGAUUAUUACUAUCUUUGGGAAAAGGUUUUUCGACAAACAUUUGUUGGGUAUUGUUCUGCAGCAAUAUUUUCAGUAUUAAUAAGUCAUGCUCUUUUUUUCUCUUAUUCAUUGGUCUCACUCUUUAGACUUUGCUGUUUUGUAUUAAACAAGAUUUUAAAUUUAUGGACUUUUUUUUCAUUAGUUAUGUAUUAAUAAUUUAAUUGUUAAACUUUGAAAUGUUUAAUUUGUUGUAAGGAUUUUAGUAUUGUGCUUUUUAAAAAUUUCAGUUAAUUAAUUUAUUUUUGUUCAGACCAUAAAAAUGAGAUUUUUCAAAAGUCCAACCCAACUCGAUUGCGGGUUGGGUUGGGUUGAAAAAUGUAAUGGGUCGGGGCGAAUGGGUCGGGUCGGGUUGAAAAAAUUCAACCCGACCCGUGCCAGCCCUAAACUACAUCAUCAAAAUCUCUCUAAAUUGGUCGAAUUUAGUCGGUAGUUAAGGACCUAAAUGAUAAAAAUGCAAUCAUUGAGAACUUAAGUUAGGCAAUUUUGAAAAGGACCCUAAAAAAUAGAUGGAUAAUGAUAUUUCAACAUCACAAGUUUUGUUAACCCACUUCACUUAAGAAAUAAUUACAAUAAGUUCACAUUAUUUUUUAAAAACUUAAAUAAAGAAAAAGUUUAAAAAUUUAAUUCAAUACCUAAACUACCAGAUACAAAAGCUCGUAUUUUUGGGAUAAUUUGGUUAUUUUACAUUAUAAGGUUAAAAUAGUUAAAAAAAACUUAUCGUAAAGUGGUUGUAAUAAUCAAAGAUCAUAUUUUAAAAAAAAUUAUAAAUCCUUAAUUGUCUUAAUUUUUUGUUAAUUUGUAUAUUUGAAAAUAAUGUAAACUUGUUAUAAUUAUUUAAUUUUAAAAACUGAGAUGGAUUUAAAAAAAUAAUAAUGAGAUGAAAAUAUCCACACCCAAAAUAUAAUAACAAUUCGUCAAUUUUCAUUUUUCUCUUUUGUUUUCUAAUUUUUGUUAUUUUUUUGGUUCUUUUAUUUUGUUAUGCUUAUUUAGAGUAUUUUGCUUUCGUUGCCAUGUUUUGUUGUCGUUCUUUUGUGUGUUUAUUGUAGUAUUGUUUUCCCAAAAAUAAUGAUGGUUUAAUAAAGUUACUAAGGUGGCGUUUGUUUUUUAACUUAAUGACUUAAAGUGACUUAACUUAAAUAAUUAAGUUAAUUAGAGGUGUUUGUUUUUAUAACUUAAUGAGACUUUUUAGAUAAUUUUGACUUAAUAAAAUAAGUUAAUUUUUUUGGCUUUUUACUUAAUGCAGAAAUAUGAAUUAAGUCAAUUACUUGCUAAUGUCAAAAAUAUCUAUGUUUUAUAAUUUAUUUUUCAUAUCUAUCCCAAAACUCACCCAUAGAUAUUUACCCCACAUAAAAAUAUCCCUGUUUUUUUUCUUAUAUUAUAUACGAUAAAAUUUGAAAUUUAUGGUAUUUUAUAUAUUAAAAUUUUAAAAUAAUUAUGUAUUUACUUGAAUAUGAUUUUACUUAUAAAUGUUAAAAUAUUGUGGUAUUUAAUAUAUUAUUUAUUUGACAUUCAAAUUUAAUAAGGAUACAAAUAUAAAAAUACAUAUUUUUAGCUUUUUAAAUUGAAAAAAACAAACAACUUAAUACUUAUUUUCUGAGAUUCAGACGAAAAAACAAACAUAUGAUUCAGAUUCAGACAUUCAGACCUAUUCAGAAUUCAGACUAAUUCAGGUCUAUUCAGAUUUUAGACAAAAAAAUAAACGUCACCUAAGUGUACAUUUAAGUUUUUAAGUUAUGAUUUGGUGAUAGGUUUGUGUUGUAUUUACAGGACACUAUGUCAAGUUUGUUUUUUUCCUUUCUUGAUUCAAAUGUGGUCCUCACUUAAAAUAACUUAGGUGGAUAAACUAUAGCAUACUGAAAAAAUUCUUCAAAUUUCUUAUCAUAUCUUAGUAUGCGCCAUGCGGAGCCAUUCCUUUUUUAUUUUUCGUUGGGUCAUAGUAAUUGUAGUUGCUUUGUUAAGUUGUUAGCCAUUGAACUAAUCAAGAUUGGGAGUCUUUGGGUUCUUCUAAACGAAAAAAAAAAGGUGUUGUAUUUAAUUUAACCCAUAUGACUUACUUGCCAUACUUGGGCCUUGUUUCGUGUGUGUGUGUGUAUAUAUUGAUAGAUAGAAUAACUUUGCUCCUUUUUAAUGCAAUUUAUUAUUAAUCUUCUACAUUUUACAAAUAUAUAUAUCACUCAUCACUCGUUCACGGAGCAUCAAACACGAUCCACUACUUCUGUACACUCUCGCUAUUUCCACCUUAACGCCGUUGGGAAACAUCACUAUCACUAUGCGCAGAAAUUAAGUCGAGCCACAGAGGUAGAAUGACGUGCAAUAACGACGUGUUAAUACUUUUUGUUAACAGAACACUAUAUAUAUAUAUAUAUAUAUAUCCCUUUCAUUUCUGCUAGGGAAAAGGACACAGAGACCCUUAAUAUUUGAAUAAGGGACAUAAAAUCCCUUAAUGUUUCAAAAAAGACACUCAGACCCCAAUUGACUAACGGAAACCGUUUGUUUUAACAGAAAUUAUAAUUUUAAAGUGCAAUUACCAUUAUACCCUUAUAGCAUAUUAAAAACUAAUUGUUCAUUGUCCAAUUUAUCCCACAAACACAACCAGCAACCAAACACGAGCACAAGCAGCAGCCAAACCCGAGCACAAGCAGCGGCCAAACACGAGCACAACCAGCAGCCAAACGCAAGCACAACCAGCCGCCAAAAGCGAGCACAACUAGCAACUAAACGCGAGCACAAGCAGCAGCCAAACGCGAACACAAGCAGCAGCCAAACGCGACCAAUUCCAGCAGCCAAACGCGAGCAGUUCCAACAGCCAAACGCGAGAUUUCAGCAGUUCCAACAACACAAGCAACAACCAAACGUCGAUCGACAGCAGAUCCGGCAACUAGACUCGGUCUCGAUCCACGCACGAGCAGUUCCAGCAGCUUCCGGUAACGCGAGCAGCAACUUCCGGCAGCCCCAGCAGCAUUCGGCGAGGCAAACCGUGAGUGUGUUAAAAGAUUUGUCUGAAAUCAGUAUCAGUGCGUGUGUACGUGGGGUUUGUUUGUGCGUGUGAUGCGUGUGUGGGUUUUUAGUCAAUUCACUUGUUUUUAAUUUGUAAUUACGAUUUUAACCUUUUAAUGAUUUAACGGAACGAUUUCCGUUAGUUAAUUGGGGUCUGAGUGUCUUUUUUGAAACAUUAGGGAGUUUUAUGUCCCUUAUUCAAACGUUAGGGGUGUCUGUGUCCUUUACCCUUUCUGCUAUCCUGGUGUUACUUGUCUAAAUUUCAUUUUCAAAUAGUAUUACUACCCACUGACUGUUCGCGGACCAAAUUGAUACAGAUAUAGCUCUUAACCUCUGUUUCUCGUGUGUGCGAAUCAGAAAUGGACAGUCUCACAGGCAUUGGAUUCCGGCCAUUGGAUGAAGAAAUCAUUGAUCUCCUGAAGAAGAAGAGGCUUGACCGUGGUUUCUCUGUUGAAACGAUCAAGGAAAUUGAUUUUUAUAGCUUUGACCCCUGGGACCUAGCCGGUAAGUAUCACGCCCAACAAGCACUAUACGAUGUAAUUGGAGUUAGUCCAGUAGCUAAUAUCUUGGGUUAAUUUCAGUAGCUAAUAUCUUGGGUUAAUGAAUUUUUGUCAUGCAGGGCUUUCUGAGUUUCAGUCUAUGCAAGAUGUGUGCUACUUUUUCUCUAAGCCUAAGUACAGGGGUGCCAAGCGGAAACGGUCAGGACAACAACAACAUAGAAAAACCAAGUCAGGAACCUGGAAAAAGACUGGCAGUGAUUCUGAGAUGAAGCGGAAAAACAGUACUGAGGUGAUUGGUAACAAAGACUAUCUUGUUUUUAUCCACAACGAUGCUACUUCCGAGAAAGUUAACACAAAGUGGCUUAUGCACGAGAUAGCUAUUGCGGAUGACCCUCUCUAUAAGGUGCGAGCUUUGUUUAGAAUAAAUUGGACAUGUUUUGCAAAUACUAGAAAGCUGCUGUACCGUACAUCCGCCUUGGCCGUACAGCAGCUAUUGAUAAUGAAAAAAUAAAAAAUAAUUAAAUAAACUAUUAUAGUUGCCUAAACUGUAUUAUUCGAAUAAAUUUUUUUAUGUUAUUUAAUCAAUUAUGUCUAUCUUUUUUCAAGUUUUUUUUAAUAAAAAAAUUGGACAUGGAAACUUUUAUAGAUUAUCCAAACUUUUAAGUUUCAACUUUUCUAUUGAUUUUAUUCCAUGAUUUUAAUUAAUUGUAUAUAUUGAUAUAAACAAAUCAGAUUUUUUUCUUUUUGGUGUGUCAGAAUUUAAAACUUUGAAUGUAUUAUUUUAGUACUAUUUAAAAUAUUAAUUUAUUUAGAUCUUAUUUAAUUUUAAAUUUAAUUAGUAGUCAAAUUAAUUUUAUAUUAUUUUUAUUUAAUUAUUUAGUGGAUUGGAUAUAAUGAAAAUAAUCCAAAAUGAAUCUACAAAAUAGUAGAUUGGAUAUAAAUUGCAUCAAAUCUGCAUUCAAUCCAUGAACAUAUUCGAUUGGAUGUGGAUUGAAUUUCAUAGAUAUAUAGAUUGAAUGGAAUUAAAUAUUUGUAACCCAAAAAAUCUUAGAUUGGAUAUGAAUUGGUGUCUAAUUUGCAAACACCCUUACUCUAUAUGGACUUUGGUCCCUAAUUUGUUAUGACUUUUUUCUAAUAUUAUUGUUGGACCUUAAUUACUUUUCAGGUUAAGCUUUUAGAAUUUUUUUUGCUAGCAAAAGAAGAUAUAACCUCGAUAUUAUUAUUGAUGGUGUGAUGUUGAUUAACCUUUCUCAUGUUGAACGAUAUAAUUUGUAUAAAGUAAUGCUCGAUAAAUUGCUAAUUUUAAUUAAAUAAUAAUUUUUUACUGUUUGAACUUGGGACCAACAUACUAAAUUAAUAAUUUAUAAGAUAUUAAAUUAUAAAAAUUAAAAAAAUUGAUAGGACCCACUAACUAUAUAAAUUAAUAUUUAGCUAAUCCCAAAUUUAAUCCGGAGCCGGCUACUCUGCAUCAGUGAUUCCAAAUCCCCCAAUUUUGUCUUUACCAAACUGACCGUUUGAUAUUAUCUAAUGGAUGGUGAUUGAACACAUAGAUAAGUAAGAGUAACCUAAUAAACAAGUUCAGAGCCGGUCACCAAAAAUUCUACAAUUGUAUGGUACACAAUUACAAGUAACUGGUUGAAAACAAUUAAUACAUUCUUAAAUGCAAGAUCUCGUUAGAUGCAUGACAACGUUACAUGCCAAUUUCCGUUGGAAUAAAAUUCACAUAUAAUGCGAUAAAGAUAAAAUAAGUUCAUGAAUAAAAUAGCCAGUUCCUUAACCAUUUACGUUCAGAGUUGAAAAGAACUCCAUUUUUUGGAGAAAAAAUAGAAAUUGGGGAAAGCAUAUGCAAUAGGGUUAAUAUCAUCAGCAUUGGAAGCAGCCUCUGCUUGUGCUUGUUCCCACUCCCGUCGGUGGCAGCAGCCUCUGCUUCUGAUUGUUCCCACUCCUGUCGGCUGUUUUGCUGAUAGCCCUACGAACUUCUCCCCUUUCUAUUUUGGUACUUCUUCUCAAUAUGGGCAAUCUCAACCGUCCUAUUUGCCUUAAUGAUCUGCCGGCGGUUGGCGAUAAGUCUGAUUUUGCUCCUGCCCCUACCAAGGACUAGGAUUGACCAUACCAGAACGACCUUUGUCGGCUUCCACCUAGAACCCUUUGACCAAGUUGCCAAGAUUUUAAGGGAGAGCAGCGCAUCUCGUAAUGCCUAAAAGGUUUCCACUUUGAGUUUUUAUUUUUUCGAAUUAGAAAUCCUUGCACAUGGGGUUUUGCUCUAUUUUGGUGAUUCACACACACAUAAAUAUUCUUGUGGGCUUUUCAAUUUAAUACAUAUUUUUAGCUUUUUAAAUUGAAAAAAACAAACAACUUAAUACUUAUUUUCUGAGAUUCAGACGAAAAAACAAACAUAUGAUUCAGAUUCAGACAUUCAGACCUAUUCAGAAUUCAGACUAAUUCAGGUCUAUUCAGAUUUUAGACAAAAAAAUAAACGUCACCUAAGUGUACAUUUAAGUUUUUAAGUUAUGAUUUGGUGAUAGGUUUGUGUUGUAUUUACAGGACACUAUGUCAAGUUUGUUUUUUUCCUUUCUUGAUUCAAAUGUGGUCCUCACUUAAAAUAACUUAGGUGGAUAAACUAUAGCAUACUGAAAAAAUUCUUCAAAUUUCUUAUCAUAUCUUAGUAUGCGCCAUGCGGAGCCAUUCCUUUUUUAUUUUUCGUUGGGUCAUAGUAAUUGUAGUUGCUUUGUUAAGUUGUUAGCCAUUGAACUAAUCAAGAUUGGGAGUCUUUGGGUUCUUCUAAACGAAAAAAAAAAGGUGUUGUAUUUAAUUUAACCCAUAUGACUUACUUGCCAUACUUGGGCCUUGUUUCGUGUGUGUGUGUGUAUAUAUUGAUAGAUAGAAUAACUUUGCUCCUUUUUAAUGCAAUUUAUUAUUAAUCUUCUACAUUUUACAAAUAUAUAUAUCACUCAUCACUCGUUCACGGAGCAUCAAACACGAUCCACUACUUCUGUACACUCUCGCUAUUUCCACCUUAACGCCGUUGGGAAACAUCACUAUCACUAUGCGCAGAAAUUAAGUCGAGCCACAGAGGUAGAAUGACGUGCAAUAACGACGUGUUAAUACUUUUUGUUAACAGAACACUAUAUAUAUAUAUAUAUAUAUAUCCCUUUCAUUUCUGCUAGGGAAAAGGACACAGAGACCCUUAAUAUUUGAAUAAGGGACAUAAAAUCCCUUAAUGUUUCAAAAAAGACACUCAGACCCCAAUUGACUAACGGAAACCGUUUGUUUUAACAGAAAUUAUAAUUUUAAAGUGCAAUUACCAUUAUACCCUUAUAGCAUAUUAAAAACUAAUUGUUCAUUGUCCAAUUUAUCCCACAAACACAACCAGCAACCAAACACGAGCACAAGCAGCAGCCAAACCCGAGCACAAGCAGCGGCCAAACACGAGCACAACCAGCAGCCAAACGCAAGCACAACCAGCCGCCAAAAGCGAGCACAACUAGCAACUAAACGCGAGCACAAGCAGCAGCCAAACGCGAACACAAGCAGCAGCCAAACGCGACCAAUUCCAGCAGCCAAACGCGAGCAGUUCCAACAGCCAAACGCGAGAUUUCAGCAGUUCCAACAACACAAGCAACAACCAAACGUCGAUCGACAGCAGAUCCGGCAACUAGACUCGGUCUCGAUCCACGCACGAGCAGUUCCAGCAGCUUCCGGUAACGCGAGCAGCAACUUCCGGCAGCCCCAGCAGCAUUCGGCGAGGCAAACCGUGAGUGUGUUAAAAGAUUUGUCUGAAAUCAGUAUCAGUGCGUGUGUACGUGGGGUUUGUUUGUGCGUGUGAUGCGUGUGUGGGUUUUUAGUCAAUUCACUUGUUUUUAAUUUGUAAUUACGAUUUUAACCUUUUAAUGAUUUAACGGAACGAUUUCCGUUAGUCAAUUGGGGUCUGAGUGUCCUGCUAUCCUGGUGUUACUUGUCUAAAUUUCAUUUUCAAAUAGUAUUACUACCCACUGACUGUUCGCGGACCAAAUUGAUACAGAUAUAGCUCUUAACCUCUGUUUCUCGUGUGUGCGAAUCAGAAAUGGACAGUCUCACAGGCAUUGGAUUCCGGCCAUUGGAUGAAGAAAUCAUUGAUCUCCUGAAGAAGAAGAGGCUUGACCGUGGUUUCUCUGUUGAAACGAUCAAGGAAAUUGAUUUUUAUAGCUUUGACCCCUGGGACCUAGCCGGUAAGUAUCACGCCCAACAAGCACUAUACGAUGUAAUUGGAGUUAGUCCAGUAGCUAAUAUCUUGGGUUAAUUUCAGUAGCUAAUAUCUUGGGUUAAUGAAUUUUUGUCAUGCAGGGCUUUCUGAGUUUCAGUCUAUGCAAGAUGUGUGCUACUUUUUCUCUAAGCCUAAGUACAGGGGUGCCAAGCGGAAACGGUCAGGACAACAACAACAUAGAAAAACCAAGUCAGGAACCUGGAAAAAGACUGGCAGUGAUUCUGAGAUGAAGCGGAAAAACAGUACUGAGGUGAUUGGUAACAAAGACUAUCUUGUUUUUAUCCACAACGAUGCUACUUCCGAGAAAGUUAACACAAAGUGGCUUAUGCACGAGAUAGCUAUUGCGGAUGACCCUCUCUAUAAGGUGCGAGCUUUGUUUAGAAUAAAUUGGACAUGUUUUGCAAAUACUAGAAAGUUCCAAUUUAGGAUCCUAUUGAGCUAUGUGGUUUAAUAGUUUAGUGAAAACAUAAUUCAGAACACAAUAGUCAAUAAUGUGAACUUAUUCUAUUCUCGCUUUUUAUUUGUGUAGGAAAACUUUGUCGUGUGUCGCCUAGAAAGAAAAACUUGUGAUAAAAAGCUUGGUGUUUCAACUACUGAUAAACAUCAAUCAAGUCAAGAUUUUGCUUCUAGUUCUAGCAUCAAUGUUGUGGAAGAUAUGUCUCUAGAAUCUGCUCAACCACCAGAUCGACAUUUGGUUUCUAAAACAACUCAAAUUGUAGAAAAUAUAAAUUUGAAGAAUCAUCUACAACCAAGUGAGAAUUUGUUUUCUUGUAAUGAAGACUCAGCAGCUACCACUAGUUUGGAUUCGGGAUUAUCACCGAGUGACUGUUUGAUUCAUUAUUCUGGAAAUCAUGUUGCAGAAAAUACUUCUACAGGAUUGCAGCUAGUACCACAUGACGUUUUGGAGUCACUGAGACUACCAGAUGAGCAAUGGGCUCUGGAACAAGAAUCGUCAUAUUCUAAUGGUCCUAGUUUUGGUGGUGAUUUAUUGAAUUCUCAAUUUGACAGUGGGCAGGCAAUUGCUUUCUCUGAGUCGCAGCAACUACCAAACCACUUGAUCUCUUGUUCUAGAAAUCAUGUUGCAGAAAAUACUUCUACAGGAUUGCAGCUAGUACCACAUGACGUUUUGGAGUCACUGAGACUACCAGAUGAGCAAUGGGCUCUGGAACAAGAAUCGUCAUAUUCUAAUGGUCCUAGUUUUGGUGGUGAUUUAUUGAAUUCUCAAUUUGACAGUGGGCAGGCAAUUGCUUUCUCUGAGUCGCAGCAACUACCAAACCACUUGACCUCUUGUUCUAGAAAUCAUGUUGCAGAAAAUACUUCUACAGGAUUGCAGCUAGUACCACAUCCCGUUUUGGAGUCACUGAGAGAGAGCAAAGACAAUUAAAGGACUCUCUACGAGAAUGUGUAGAUCUAGAAGGUCAACCACACUACUCCAUAAAGGAAUUAAGCAUUAUGAAUUCAAGUAUACUUCCGAAUAAUUUUGUUAUUGAUUCUUGGUGAUACAACAUAAAUGUUCCUGAAUUACAAGUGAUAGUUUUCACCAAAGGCUUUCUUAUCCCAACAAGAUCAUCCCAAAAUCAAUUUUAUUCUUCGGACAGCUCCAAUGUGGGACAGUUAUGCUUCCAUUUGUGCCUCAAAAACACGAAAGCUCAUUUUAUUUAUCCCCAUAUUAUUGUAUUUUGUCUAUUUGCAUUUUGUAAAACUGUUUGGAAGUUGUUGUGAGUACCAUAUGAGACAUUUAAACUGAUUGGACAACUGAACUUGCAAGUUGCAACACUGUUGAAUCUCCUGCAUAAGAUGUAUUAUUGUGGUAACUUCGAUCUGUGAAUGAGAUUGGUGGCUAAUAAGGAUUGUAGGAUGCUAUGAACAAAGAAAUGCAUAAGUAUAUUUGAAGAUGCUAAUUGAAGAUAUAACAAAGACAAUCUUAAAUAGAAGUGUUUUUAAUUUUUGUUCUCGUGGGAGACUGCAUUAUGAAACCACUUUAGUACGUAUGCUAGGUCCCAAUCGUAUUAUGAAACCACUUCAGCAAGUAAACUUUAACGUGUCCGUUCACGUGUACCAUGGAUCCUCUGAAAUCCGGAUGAAAUCAAGAUAUAUCCAUGUGGAUCCUUGUCUAAUAAUAAUAAAAAGUCCAUGAAAUUACUAGGAAAUUAAUGGAGACAAAAGUGCAUACAAUGUCGGGGUAAACCUUAGCUUUGGUACCAUGUUAAAAAACUGCUUGACUCAAAAGCUGAAGCUAAGUAAGCGGCCAAUAUUGGUAUUAAAAAUCUAACAACGGUAUUGGCGUAUUGCUCUAAAACUGGUUCACAAUUGGUGUCCAAUUCUGGAAAUGGCACUGGUGUUAGAAACACAGUUCGAAACAUGGGUUUAUGAAAAUGUAGGCUUCCUAUUUUCUUUUUGUCUUUUCCGUCUCUUUUAUUUAUUUAUUUAUUUUUAUUUUUUUUUGAAUGAGCAGGAUAUAGCUUUUUGAGAUAGCUGCUGUUUGGACCAUAUGUUUUAUUUAUUUUUUGGGGGGAAUUUUAAAUUUUGCGUUCGUAUUUAAAAGACGCCCUAUGUGGCAAAAUUUGAGUAAUUUUCUUGUACUUCUGAGAUUAUUAUGGCAGGUUGUUUAACAAAUCAUAAAUCUUUGUUCUUUUCCUUUUUAUAUAAUAUUGAUUUACGACCUCUACUUUAGAAUUGAAUGACAAAAGUUAUUAUGUUUGGUGAACUAGGAAAUUUAUAAUUGCUUUUUUGUGGUAAAAGCUUCUUGUCCUUUUAAAUUGCUCGCAUUAUCUGUUCCACUGUCAAUUGCUCGAGCAUUCUGCAUCCCCCAAGUUUAGCUUCUUGAUGGCCCCUUAUGCCUUAGUGUCAAAAAUUAUAUAUUUAUUAAGGGGUAAAAAUAUUAUUUUAUGCUAUUAUUGUAACUUAUAUUUGUAAUUGUGUAAUAUAUUGUGAAUUUCUUAUUAUUUUUCUAAGUAUUUGAUUUUGUGUAUUUUUGUGUGUUUAUUAGGUAAAAAUAAUAAUUUCAUGCAAUUUGUGGCUCCAAAUAAAUGUAUAGAUGUCAAAUUUAGAUUCUAAAAGUCCGAGAAAUUAUGUCAUUAUCGAGGAGGAUCCGAGACUUUUGUUGUAAAUUUUAAGUUUUUACCACGAUAAAUAUAGUAAUUGUAAAAUUAUAAGUUUUUAUCAUAUUAGGUAUGGUAAUUGUUAGUGGAAUGUGUUAGAUGUGCUUUAGUGGAUUAAGUUUGCUUUGUGCUUUAUUAGUGGGACUAAUGUAAGAUUAAAAUGUAAUUAAAUUUAUUUAUUUGUGUGGUGCGGAUUUACCAUAUAUUAGUAUAAAUAGAGGUGGGGGAGGAACACAACUUCUCUUCUCUUCUUUCUUUCCCCCCAAAUUUUUCUUCUCAUCUCUCUUUAUAAUAUAUUUUAAUAAAUAAAAUUAGUUUUAUUUCAAUUUUCAAAUUCCAUAUCUUUUAAUUAUGUGUUUUUCAAUUUUAAUAAUUUCCUUUUUUUCAAAUAUGUUUAGUUAAAUAUUAGCAGUUAAGAGAAGAUGAAACUGAUGGUGUCGAGAUCCCUGAGGAAGAAAGUGAUAACGAGGAGAGUACUUCGACCCAAGCCGACCAACUAAGAAAAAGAACCCCGGUCAUAGAAUGAAAGUUGAUUCCUACCUCCAUUGACUUCCUCAAAUGUACCACUACCCAAACUGACCUAUUUAAACUGAGAAACCUGUACCAAAUCCCCAAUCAUGUUCUCCUCGUCAUCCCUAGGAAAGGUGAUGGUCUCAGUCGACCCCCUAGAGGUUACGUAACUUUGCAUUUAGAGAGCUUCAAACUAGGAGCUAAAUUGCCUCUUCAGCCCUAUUUUACCAAGGUACUAAGUGGCAUGCAUCUGGCUCCCAACCAGUUACAAUCGAACGGGUGGAGGGUCCUCUCAGGCCUGUUUGUAUUAUGGGAUAGAUGCCAGCUCGGGGAGCCUACCACCGAGGAGAUAAAAAGUUUGUAUCAGCUGAGAAGCAGUCCAAAGGAAGUGGGCUGAUAUUACUUCAUGUCGAGUUUCGUGAAGAGGAAACCCAUUACCAACUUUCCUUCUUCAUGUAAAAAUUAGAAAAACAAGUUCUUCUUCGCUGGGGGAAAUUGGUGCCCAGCGAUUCAGUCGCUUAGUGGUGACAUUCACCUCCCCACACAUUUUGUCACCCCAGGUCGUUUAUUUUUCUUUAUGCUUUACUUCUCUGGUUGUGGCUUAUCCUUUUCCUUAACCUUGUCUAUAUUUUCAGACUCGUGGGGCCUGGUCAGCAGACUUGACGACGACCCAUUGCUCAAAGUUGAAACUGCUCUGGUCAACGCCUCCACCUGCCAGGACCUCUUGUCGCCAACAAGUCUCGUCGAGUCCCGCUUGGUUAACAUUGCUGCCGGGAUGGAUAACAAGAUCCUUAGCGCCAUGUCUAGGAAAUGUGCUCAGGUGACGGGGUAAUCCAGCAGCGCACCCUCUCCCAAGAAGUAUAUCAAUGUCGUCGGUCCUUCUAAAUCCCCUGCUCCUGCUCUGCCCCCUCUUUCGACCCGAAAGAAUGGCGGAGAGAGGCCUCACGAAAAGAGUCCUAAGGGCAGCGCUGCGUCCAAGGAUCGGACUUCGUAUCAGAGGAACCGGGGCGAUCAUUUGGCCUUAUAUCAGAGGGACUACACCAAAUCAGUGGGGCCCAAAUUGGUUAAAGAUGUUGAGAGCAUGGAUCUUGGCGAGCUGGGACGCUCCCUCUAAAGGGUUGCACCGACAGGUUAUGGACCUGGAGGAGAAGGUUGCUCUUGCUAUGUCUAAGUGUUCUCAGCUUGAGAGUGAGCUGGCUAACCUGAAGUAUGAUCUCGAGGCUGCUCAAAGUGAGCGAGAUACUCAGAAGACGGCAUACGAAGAACAGAUCAAGUCCUUGGACACGCAAAUAGUUGAGUUAAAGGGUAAAUCUACUAAUGUGAACGAUCGACUGGAUGCAGAGUACGAUUCUGGGCUCAUUUUUUGCUAUAAAUGUAUCAUGUUCGUGCUUAAGAAAUAUUCCGAGCUGAAAAUGAAUAAACUGGAAGCGCGCGUUCAGGAGUACAUGGCUGAGCAAGGCCAGAGGGACAAGAACCAGGAAGAGGUCCUACUGGGUGGAGAGCAGGAAAAGGAGACAGGGGACCAAACUUUGGGCACAGGUCAGGAGUCAGCACCUACUUCUUGAAAAGUUGUUGGUCUCUCUUUGCCUGAGAUUGCAGAUCUCCCCUUCCGUUGAAGCUAUUGCCUCCUAUUAAUGACCCAUAAACUUUGAUCUUCAUGUAAAUCAUAAACUUUCUCCUUGUAAAUGUUAGAGUUUUUAUAGACUUUUGAUACUUUCUAAUUGUUUCUUUGCUAGACUUUUCCUUAUGGAUUGCCUUAGAAAAUUCCUGCGAGUUUUGCCUACUCGUGUUAUAACAAUAAAGAGAUUUUCAAUUUUAUUUGCCGGUCCUCAGACGGCUGAGUGGGUUUUGGUGAGUUUUUGCCUUGAAAGUAAUUUGUAAAUUGUGUCUGCUCGUCCUUAAGAGACUGAGCAGGAGUGGGCAACUUUUUGCCUUAACGAAUUUUAUAGAUUUUGUCUACUCAUCCUCAAGCGACUGAGCAGGAAUAGGCACAUAUUUCCCUUAACGAAAUUUGUUAAUUUUGUCUGCUCGUCCUCAAGCGACUAAGCAGGAAUAGGGAUAUCUUUGCCUUAACGAAAUUUGUUGAUUUUGCCUGCUCAUCCUUAAGGGAUUGAGCAGGAAUAAACAUAUCUUUGCCUUAUGCUCGUCCUUAAGGGACUGAGAAGGAAUAGACACAUCUUUGCCUUAACAAAAUUUGUUGAUUUUGCCCACUCGUCCUUAAGGGACUGAGCAGGAAUAAGCACAUCUUUGCCUUAACAAAAUUUGUUGAUUUUGACUGCUCGUCCUCAAGCGACUGAGCAGGAAUAGGCAGAUCUUUGCCUUAACAAAAUUUAUUGAUUUUGUAUGCUCAUCCUUUAGCGACUGAGCAGGAAUAAGCACAUCUUUGCCUUAACAAAAUUUGUUGAUUUUGUCUGCACGUCCUUAAGUGACUGAGUAGGAAUAGACACAUUUUGCCUUAACGAAAUUUGUUGAUUUUGUUUGCUCGUCUUUAAGUGACUGAGUAGGAAUAGACACAUCUUUGCCUUAACGAAAUUUGUUGAUUUUGUUUGCUCGUCCUUAAGUGACUGAGCAGGAAUGGGCACAUCUUUGCCUUAAAAAUCAUUUUGAUAGGAUGUCUGUAAAUGGAAUUCAUAGUUGUUGAAUAUUUAAAGGGUUACAGUAAAAUAAAACAUAUGCACAUGCAACAACUUCUCAUUACAACUAGCGGGGAUAACUUAAUGAAAGGAUUUCACAAAGUACUUUGCUUACUGGAAAUAUUUCUUCAAGUGUUCGACGUUUUAUGAUCUAUUCACCUCCCGUCCAUCUAGGUAGGCCAGUUUAUAAGAUCCCGGGCUAGUUGCUCGUAUUACCCUAUACGAGCCUUCAUAGUUCAGGCCAAGAACACCCUGGUUAAGAUCUCGCGUGUUCUGGUUUACUUUUUUGAGAACCCAAUCCCCGACUCAGAAUUACCUUAUGCGCACAUUUCGGUUGUAGUAGUGUAUGAUCCUCUGCUGACACUGAGCUACCUUCUGCAAGGCUUUUUCUCUCUUAUCCUCCAUCAAAUUUAGGUUUAUACACAUUUGCUCGUCAUUCUGCUCCUCACUGAAAUAUUCUAUUCGAUGUGUUCUUACUCCGAUUUCUGCUGGGACCACAGCCUCAUGACCAAAGGCUAAGGCGAAUGGGGUUUCUCCAGUUGCGGUUUUAUGUGUUGUCCGGUAGGCCCAUAAUACCCCUGGCAAUUUAUUGGCCCAGGCUCCCUUCUUCUCUCCUAACCUAGUUUUCAGGGGCUUCUUUAUGACUUUGUUGGCUGCUUCUACCUGUCCAUUUGCUUGGGGGUGUGCCAGAGAGCAAAACUUCAAUUCAACACCCAAAUUUUGACAAAACUCCUUAAAAUUAUGGUUGUGAAAUUGUCUUCCAUUAUCGGUUAUGAUUGUAUAAGGGAUCCCGUAUCUACAAAUGAUGUUCUUCCAAACGAAACCGGUUGUCUUCUUCUCUGUGAUCUGGCUUAAAACCUCAACUUCUACCCAUUUUGUGAAGUAGUCUAUAACCACAAUUGCAUGUGUUACGGCUCCUCAUCCUCUAGGCAAGGGCCCAAUUAGGUCAAUCCCUCAUUGUGCAAAAGGCCAAGGAGAUGACAUAGCGGUCAGCUUUUUUGGAGACUGAAUACGGACAUUUGAGAAACUUUGGCAGACUUUGCAAUUUCUGGCCAUUUCCUUUGCAUCUUAGUGCAUGGUCGGCCAAAAAUAUCCCUAUCGCAGUGCCUUGAAUGCUAAAGUCCUUACUCCCGAAUGAUUGCCACAUAUUCCUUUAUGUAUUUUCUGCAACGCAUAGUUUGCUUCCUCGUCAUCUAAGCAUCUCAGGAGUGUUAAGGUGAACCCACGGUGGUAAAGUAUCCCAUCAAGCAAUGUAUAUGUGGCUGCCCAAUAUUUCAACUUUCUCGCUUACUUUCUAUCCACUAGUAAGAUGCCAUCACGAAUAUAUGAGAGAAUUGGAUCUAUCCAGGAUCUUCCAUCGUCCACCCCCAUUACUUCUGCUUCUACCCCAAUGCUUGACGAAGUUCUCACUUCCAGUGGGACUGACUUGGGCAACUUCAGAUAUGCAGUUGCAUCCAUUCUAGCCAGCAUAUCUGCUUGAUAGUUUUAUGUCCUUGCUAUCUGCUUUAUUUCAACCUCUCAUAAUAGCACAAUUAUUUACUUUGCCUUCUUCAAAUAAAGCUCCAUCUUCUCUCCUCUUGCCUGAAAAUGCUCAUUAAACUUAUUACAGACAAGCUGGGAAUAUGCUCGGAUCUCGACCCUUUCUGCUCAUAAUGCAUGCGCUAGCCUAAGCCCAGUAAUGAAGGCUUCGUACUCCGCCUGAUUAUUCGUGAGCUGAAACUCAAACUUUACUGCGUAGGACACCUCGGCCCCCUCUGGACUACGUAUCACCACCCUUGCUCCAAAUCAUUGGUCAUUGCGUAACCCAUCAAUCAUUAUUAACCAUACCCCUUCUGGCCUUUCUUUUUCAGCUGGUUGCUCCUCGUGAACCCUUUCAUCAGCUCUGUACAGUCCACCACAAAGUCGACCAGGGUUUGUGCUUUAAUGGCUCCUCGGGGUCGGUAGGUUAUGUCAAACUCGCUCAGCUCCACUGACCAUUUAACUAAGCGACCAGAUGCAUCCAGUUUCAAGAGUAUUUGUCGAAUAGGUUGAUCAAUCAAUAUAAUUAUCGGGUGCGCUUGGAAGUAUGGUCUGAGCUUACGCGCCGCUGUUACUAAGGCGAACGCCCAUUUCUCCAUCGCGGGAUACCUAGUCUCCGCGUCCACCAAGGCUUUGUUGGUGUAGUACAUUGGAUGUUGCUUUCCUUCAUCUUCUCUAACCAACACCAAACCGGUAGCCCACUUGGAGACAGCCAAAUAUAAGUACAACUCAUCGCCCUCCCUUGGAGUUGAAAACAAUGGGGCACGGGCGAGAUACUCCUUCAGCUACCCAAAUGCCUCCUCGCAUUCUGUUGUCCACUCCAUUUUUCUUCAUUUCCUCAUAAUUUAGAAGAAAUUGUGACAUUUAUCUGUGGCCUUUGAAAUGAAUCGGUUCAAUGCUGCCAACUUCCCCGUGAGGCUUUGCACCUCCUUGACUGUUCGAGGAGACUUCAUCUCCACUACUGCCCGUAUUUUCUAUGGGUUGGCAUCUAUUCCUCAGUGGCUCUCUAGGAAUACCAAGAACUUACCCGAGCUAACCCCAAAUGCGCAUUUCUCGGGAUUUAGUUUCAUUUUGCACUUCCUCAGUAGCUCAAAGGUUUCUUCCAAAUGCCACACAUGAUCUGCUGAGUUCUUGGACUUUGUAAUCAUGUCAUCCACGUACACCUCUAUUGUGCGUCCGAUCAGCGGUUUAAAAAUUUUGUUUACCAAUCUUUGGUAAGUGGCUCCUGCAUUCUUUAAACUGAAUGACAUCACCCCUGUAACAAAACAAACACAUGUUAGUGAUGAAUGUAGUGCUCUCCUCAUCAUGUUUGUCCAUGGGUAUCUGGUUGUAUCCAAAAAAGGCAUCUAUAAAACUGAGCAGGCUGUGGCCAACCGUUGAGUCAAACAGUUGGACUGCUCGGCUGUCGUGAAAAUCAUCUCGGGCAUUGGGGGUGGCUGGUUUGGUUGACCAACCCUAGGGUUAACUCCAUUAAAUGUCCUUGGAAUGUUGUGAUAAGGAUGGGCAACCAUCUGCCAUAAUUCUUGUUGCCGUUCCGGGAAUGGGGAGCGCUGAUGCUGAGCUCGGCCAUGCUGGAACUGUUGCGGUCUUUGAACCAUUUGAUAAGGACGAGACCGAGCCAAUGCUCCCCCACUAGCUGAUGAUUCCCCAAUUCGCUUUUGUGACCCACUCCCAUUCGGUACUUUCUUCUCCUUUCACCUCAGCUCCUCCAACUGUUCACUAUUUAUUCUCACCGUUUUCUCCUCCUCGAUUUCUAUAUCCCUCUUCGUAUGCUCAUACCCCGUUGAAUAACUCUAAAUAACAGGGUUUCUCAAGUUGUACCACAAUCGACCUAUCAUCACCCCUUCUUUUAACCCUUUUAAUGCUUGAGGAUGAUUAAAAACCCCCAAGUCAAGUACUGCCGGAUGAUAUCUCUUCACAAAAUCUCAAAGAGAUUCGUGCUCCUCUUGUUUCAUUCUCAUUAAUUCUAUCAUAUCGUCCUCUAGGGCUAUCACUCCGCGGAAUUGCUCGGUCAACUCUUGGCACAUUUGCUCGUAGCCUCUUAUACUUCCACGCGGCAACUUACGGUACAAUUCUCGAGCUCGUCCCUCUAAUGUCAAUGGGAAUACCCUACACCUCUGUGCUAGUGCUAACCCCUGCACACCUAUCAUAUCAUUGAAAUGUUCAAUAUGCAUCAGUAGGCCACUUCUCCCAGAAUACUUGAGGUCGGGAAAACGGAAAUCCCUCAGGAUCAUAGUACCCAUGAUCUCUGCUAACAGUGGAGAUUUAUCAUCUAACAUUAUCCUCCAACUAGGGGGCUUUCGUUUGCCCUGCAUCUCAUCUAUCACAUGUGCCAAUCGUCACACCUCUCCAUCCAAUUCCAAAGCUCGACCAGCAUCACGUGCAGUAACCUAGUCGCGCUCCUGUUCAAUGUCAUGCAGCCGCUGUCUGAGCUCGCUUUCCUUAGCGUUUGCUCUUCGGCUAUCAGUUCCCAGAACCCGGCCAGAGCGAGAUUGGUCUCUCCCUUCAUUCACAUACUAUGGGGAUGUACCCAUAGGCCUGUCCCCCCAACGGAGGAACCUCCUCAUUUCUAUGCCUUCGAUGGCUGGGUUCCGCAGUGGCCUCAUCUCUCGUCACGAUGGUCUCAUAAUCCCUUCUCCGCUCAUCCAUCAGCUUAUGCAAUAUAGUGGUAAGGAUCUCCAUCUGCUUCUCCAUUCGCUCUUGCAUCACUCUCUCCCUAACCUCAUUUGCUAUCUCUCAGAGGGUGAUUGUCUCACUGGUGUCAUUGUCGCCCCCUAGGGCGCCACUCCUUGUCACAUCCAUAACUAUUCGUUCGCUGCUCCUCUGAUGAUUACUAUCUUUGUGAUAGCUUUUUAUUCAGAUCCCCACAGACAGUGCCAAAAUAUUGAUGCUGAAAUCUGGUCGUCAUCUGCCUAACCAGAUUGGCUCACCAACGGUUGUAUUGACAAUGAUGAAAACACUGCACUCCACAAGCUUCUACAAUUACACAAACUUCUGAGACUCAAAUCACCCUUCUUCCUCCUUCCUAACCUAUGCUCACAAAAUUAAAUCAGAGGCGCCAGUGGUUUUCCCAGCUAAAACCCUCUGAUGCUUAAGUCAGUAUGCAGGGUUUUUGGGAAAAUUGUGUGAUGUAGGUUUGUGCGAAUUAAUAAAAAUUUAAUCAAAGAAAAGUGUCUUAGAUGCUUCUCUGAAGUUUAAAAUCUAGUGCCAAUUUGACAUAAUUUCCCCUUCUUUUCUUGUGUCCCCCUCUCAAUCUGAUUUCCCAGCUUUUAUAGGCGAUCACUCCAUGUUUCUAGAACAUCUCCCACGUCCGUCAUACUCGGGCGAUCAAGGGCCCUAACGGGUUUCAAUAAUCGAACGUGGGCAAACGUGGAGUGUCGUGUUCUCCCCAGCAAUUUGGGGUGUGCCGAAACUGUCGCGUUGUUGCGGAAUCGUGUCCUCUUUCUGAAUGACAAGCUUCUGGACGACACGAGUCUCUAGUCGGUACGCGUUUCUGGCCGGUACUCAUUUUUGGUCGGUACUUAUUUCUGAUCGUUAUUCGUUUCUGAUCAGUUGUUACGUGCUCUAUAAAGAAGACAUCAUCAGGAAUCUACUCAUACCAUUCAGCCGAGGAGAUUCACCCCCCGAUAGGAAAUGGAGACAUACCUGACUAGUGCUUUUUUAUUACUCAACAAUAACUGUACCAAUCAUUUGUUACAAGUGUUGUUAAAUGCUUGUAAAUAUUGUGUUCAUAUGUCCAUCUGGUGGGUGAGAAGUAGAGAGACGUGAGAGAAAAUAUGAAUAGUGAGAACUACUUUAAAGGUAGUCUUUAAAUUCAUAGUUUACUUGUAAUUAUUAUUGACAUUGCUGUGGAUUUGGCAUUGAAGCAGGCUUGGGAUUCUCUUUCAGUGGAAAGUGAUUCGCUGCCAUAUUAUUAUUAUGCUUUUGUAAUGUGCUUGUAAAGAAUAUAUUUAUAUAAAUAACUGAUACUUAUAUCUUGUCUUUUUUAUGGACGGUGAACUCCUGCAUCAUCAUAAUGUUUAUGACAAUUUGCAGCCCCUUCAACGUUCAAUGUUCUUCACUCUCAUUGUGACUUUCGAGAACAAGGCGCAUCAACUUCUGAGUGGAAGAGGUUAACUGUAAGAUCAAAUAUUGAAAUUCUGUUUCAGCCAGAAAACUCUUAUCAAAAUCUACAAAUUCAAGCUCUCUUCAAUUGUCUCUCUGGCACUGAGUGCUUACAGAUACCCAUGCUGAAUGUUAAUCAUUAGUUAGGUGUUUCUGUCGUUUUAUAUUUAGAAGUUUAUGUCUGGGCUAUGUCCCCGGCUAUAAGAUAUAUCAUAUAUUUCAUAGAUGUCUUUCUAUUUACAGUGUAUCAUAAUGAUUAUAUAUUCUGGAUUUGACAGUAGAGUAGUUUGUUUAGUGAUUUUGGACAAACGGAAACUGAUGAUCUUUUUCCAUGUUCUUCCAUAUCCAAAAAUGGGGUGCUUUUCUAACGAUUGUGCUUGAAUUUAAUAGAUUGUUACUCUUUUAUUUUGGGGGGGGGGGAAUUUUGUUGUGGCUUCUGAAAUAUUUUGUAAUCUUUUGUAAUAUUUGUCCUAUUGAAUGUUCAAUAGAUAUAGUUUAGGGUAGAUAUGGAAAGUUAUUUGCGGGCCAAUACUAAGCUGACACAUGAAAAGGUAUUAUAAUAAAAUAUGAGCCCACAUGUGCAAAUCAUGGAUGAGGACAGCCCUAGUGAAUUUAGCUCACUUAGAAGGACAAAUCUAAAAUAAAAUAAGAGAUAUUUUGGUCUCUAGCAUGUUGUCGGUUGAGUCAGGACGAGGGCUUAAAUUUUGAAAAAUGGCAAGGCUCUUCCCUUUGAAACUAAGGCCACCCCUAGGAGGUUUACUCUUCGUUUUGAGUUUCCUGGAAGGUAAACUUUCGUGUGGGUUAGGAGCCGUGGUACUCUCAUUGUCAAAGUCGUCGUUAGAAUCACUCUUGGCUGUUGUUUUCCCCUCCUCCCUCAUAAACUCCUGGAUUCACCCUCAUCACUAUCAUUACUAGAGUUGGUAAAAUGGAUAAUUGUGUCGCGUACGUGUCGUGUCAGAUUUAGGUUAACCUUAACAUGACCCAUUUAAUAAUCGUAUUAAAAUAUUGAGAUUCAAACUAGACACAGAAAAUAAAUAGGUUAUUUAAUAACACGUUUAAUAUCUAUAUAUUUAAUAAAAUUUAUAUCAAACAUCUGCAUACUAUUAUACAUACACUCCUCUAAAAUAUUACACAUUUAUACUAUUGAAAUUUUACUAUUAAAAUUUUAAAUCUAUAUAAAAUAUUAUAAAUGAAACAUUGUAUAUACGUCCAUCCUUUAGAAAAAAUAAAUAAAAAAAGAGAAUUAUGUCUAAUAUUUGAAUUUUAAUAACAAGAAUCUAAAAAUUAAUUUAAAAUAAAAAGUAUAAUUGUAUCAUUCAUUAGGUAAAUCAGUUAAGAACUUUAACCCUAAUCCAUCAUUAAAAAAAAUCACCUUAAAUUUAAUAACUUAUACCCAUUUAUUUGUGUUGUAUUCAUAUUAAAUAAUCAGCUCAUAUCAAAUUUUGCUAACUCUAAUCAUCACUUAAUGUGGGGAAACAAUAUUGCCGAGGGGCAAACUUAAAACGAGAAUAUUCACCAUUAUCCCACUCGUCUCAUCAUUAUCCUCCAAAUAAAAAACAUCCACCUUCCUCUUCAUAACUGUCACAAACCUAUUGAAUUACCCUCUCAUCACAAACCCCAACACAAAUAGAAAAAUAGAAGCAGCGAAAUACAGAACCAACAAAACAAAAACUAAAGAAGGCCAACAGCAAAAAUGGAGAAAGAGAAGG
rnacentral:lncRNA from 1 species